rnacentral:lncRNA from 1 species
AAAAAAUAAGAACCUAACUUUAAUUUUUGUGGAAAAUCGACGUGGUACAAGAGAAUUUUAUUAAUCAAAAUGAAAAAUUACAUCUAGUUUUGAGGAUAUAAACCUCACCCCUUAAAUUCAAGGAAAAAGAAAUAUGGAUAAAAAGAGGGGACACAAACCUUACCUCUCUAAAACAUAAAAAUAUUACAAGAAAAGAAGAAGAUAUAAACUUUAUCCUUCUUGAAACAGAAAAUAUUAUAAGAAGGGUAAAUCGUCAAAAUGGUCCCUGAGAUUUGCAUAACUCAUCAUUUUGGUCUAUGAGAUUCCAAAACGAUAAAAGUGGUCCCUGAGAUUUUCCUAAAUCCAUCAUUUUGGUCAUUCCGUUAAGUGUCCCAAAGGAAGUUUGGGUAAUUUUCAAAGCUUCAUAACUCAAUCAUUGCUUAACCAAAUUAGAUCCAUAAUAUAUCAAAAUGAAGAUAGGAAAGUGUAGAAUAAGAUUAUACAUAUUCCAAAGCCCAAUGAUUGACAGAGAUGGCCGGAAAAUAGCCUCAAAGUUGACUGGUCCGAGUGAAAACUUGAAAACUCGCCGAAAACUUGGUAAACUUUAAACGUUCAUAACUUCUUCAAUACUCAACGAAAUGAAGUGAUUAAAAAAUGAAAAUCAUACUUCUCAACGAGACGAAGAGAAUGGUAUCUUUUUUUAUGGCUAAGUCGCCGUGGUUUGGCCGGAAAAUGGCUCGAAAGUAGACCAAGACAGCUACUUUCGAGCAAUUUUCCAGCCAAACCACGGCGAUUUAGCCAUAAAAAAGGUACCAUUCUCUUCGUCUCGUCGAGAAGUAUGAUUUUUAUUUCUGAAUCACUUGAUUUUGUUGAGUAUUGAAGAAGUUAUGAACGUUUAAAGUUUACCAAGUUUCCGGCGAGUUUUCAAGUUUUCACUCGGAUCAGUCAACUUUGAGGCUAUUUUCCGGCCAUCUCCGGCAAUCAUUGGGCUUUGAAAUAGGUAUAAUUUUAUUAUACACUUUCCUAUCUUCAUUUUGAUAUAUUAUGAGUCUAAUUUGGUUAAGAAACGAUUGAGUUAUGAAGCUUUGAAAAUUACCCAAACUUUCUCUGGGACACUUAACGGAAUGACCAAAAUGAUUGAUUUAGGAAAAUCUCAGGGACCACUUUUAUCGUUUUGGAAUCUCAUAGACCAAAAUGAUGAGUUAUGCAAAUCUCAGGGACCAUUUUGAUAAUUUACCUUAUAAGAAAGAUGAGGAACAUAAGACCUAACCCAUCUAAAAUAAAAUAUA